rnacentral:tRNA from 1 species
GGGCGAGUGGUGAAAUUGGCAGACACGCAAGACUUAGGAUCUUGUGCCGCAAGGCUUGUGGGUUCAAGUCCCGCCUCGCCCA